AUUGAACGCUGGCGGCAGGCCUAACACAUGCAAGUCGAGCGAGCGGCGGACGGGUGAGUAAGGUAGGGGGACUGCCCGAUAGAGGGGGAUAACUACUGGAAACGGUGGCUAAUACUGCAUACUAUCGGAUAACCCAUAUGGGAUUAGCUAGUCGGUGGGGUAAAGGCUCACCUAGGCGACGAGCUCUAGCUGGUCUGAGAGGGUGAACGGCCACACUGGGACUGAGACACGGCCCAGACUCCUACGGAGGCAGCAGUUGGGAAUAUUGCACAAUGGGCGCAAGCCUGAUGCAGCCAUGCCGCGUGUAUGAAGAAGGCCUUAGGGUUGUAAAGUACUUUCGGCGGAGAGGCGUUACCUGCAGAAGAAGCACCGGCUAACUCCGUGCCAGCCGCCGCGGUAAUAC
rnacentral:rRNA from 1 species